AGGAUUAUAGUUAAAAAAUAACGUUUAAGUUGCAUUUAAAAAUUAUUGAUUUUUCAAUUUAUCUUA
rnacentral:tRNA from 1 species